GAUGAACGCUGGCGGCGUGCUUAACACAUGCAAGUCGAACGGAAAGGCCCGGCGCUUGUGGGGUGCUCGAGUGGCGAACGGGUGAGUAAAACGCGAGUAACCUGUCCUUGACUUUGGGAUAACUCCAGGAAAAUGGGGCUAUAACAGGAUAUGAGCUCUUGCUCCGUGGUGGGGGUUGGUAAGUGUCGGCGGUUGUGGCUUGUCUCGAGGGUUAUCGGCUUGUUUGUGGGGUAGUGGCUUUCCAAGGUUUUGACGGGUAGCCGGCCUGGGAGCGGGACCGCGCACCAUGCGACUACGGUACGGACCAGUCUGCUACGUGCGGCAGCAGGGGGGAGUCUUGCACAACGGGGGGAAGCCUGAUGCGGCAGCCCCCCGUGCGUGAUGACGUCUUUUGAGUUGUAAACCGCUUUCGCCUGUGCCGAAGCGUUAGUGACGGUAAUGGGUAAAGAAGCACCGGCUAACUACGUG
rnacentral:rRNA from 1 species